UACGGGGGGGGCAAGCGUUGUUCGGAAUUACUGGGCGUAAAGGGCUCGUAGGCGGCCAACUAAGUCGGAUGUGAAAUCCCCAAGCUUAACUUGGGAACUGCAUCCGAUACUGGAUGGCUUGAAUCCGGGAGAGGGAUGCAGAAUUCCAGGUGUAGCGGUGAAAUGCGUAGAUAUCUGGAGGAAUACCGGUGGCGAAGGCGGCAUCCUGGACCGGCAUUGACGCUGAGGAGCGAAAAGCUAGGGGAGCAAACGGGG
rnacentral:rRNA from 1 species